rnacentral:rRNA from 1 species
UACGUAGGGGGCUAGCGUUGUCCGGAUUUAUUGGGCGUAAAGAGCGUGUAGGCGGCCAGAUAGGUCUGCUGUGAAAACUCGAGGCUCAACCUCGAGAUGUCGGCGGAAACCAUUUGGCUAGAGUCCGGAAGAGGAAAGUGGAAUUCCUGGUGUAGCGGUGAAAUGCGCAGAUAUCAGGAGGAACACCAGUGGCGAAGGCGGUGCUCUGGGCCGGAACUGACGCUGAGGAGCGAAAGCGUGGGGAGCGAACAGG